UACGUAGGGAGCAAGCGUUACCCGGAAUCACUGGGUGUAAAGGGUGUGCAGGCGGUUUAGCAAGUCGAAUGUCAAAGCCCACGGCUUAACCGUGGAAAGGCAUUCGAUACUGCUAAACUAGAGGACGGAAGAGGGAAGUGGAAUUCCCGGUGUAGCGGUGAAAUGCGUAGAUAUAGGGAGGAACACCGGUUGCGAAGGCGGCUACCUGGCCGGUAACUGACGCUGAGGUGCGAGAGCGUGGGGAGCAAACAGG
rnacentral:rRNA from 1 species